rnacentral:sRNA from 1 species
ACCUUUGUGUUGGUUAAUGCUACACCAACCACCCAGGCAUAAUCUUGUGGAGUAAAACAUGAGCGAUAAAAUUAUUCACCUGACCGAC